rnacentral:rRNA from 1 species
UACGGAGGGUGCAAGCGUUGUUCGGAAUUAUUGGGCGUAAAGAGCGUGUAGGCGGUCGGGUUAGUCAGGUGUGAAAUACCUUGGCUUAACCAAGGAAGUGCAUUUGAAACUGCCCGACUUGAGUACGGGAGGGGAAAGCGGAAUUCCCGGUGUAGAGGUGAAAUUCGUAGAUAUCGGGAGGAACACCGGUGGCGAAGGCGGCUUUCUGGACCGAAACUGACGCUGAGACGCGAAAGCGUGGGGAGCAAACAGG